rnacentral:piRNA from 1 species
UGGAUUCCUAGGACUACAAGUGGUGGAAGGC